rnacentral:rRNA from 1 species
CAUUAGCCAGUUGGCGGGGUAACGGCCCACCAAAGCGACGAUGUCUAGGGGUUCUGAGAGGAAGGUCCCCCACACUGGAACUGAGACACGGUCCAGACUCCUACGGGAGGCAGCAGUGAGGAAUAUUGGACAAUGGAGGCAACUCUGAUCCAGCCAUGCCGCGUGAGGGACGAAGGCCCUACGGGUCGUAAACUUCUUUUGUCGUGGAGCAAUAAGGUGUACGCGUACACCGAUGAGAGUACACGACGAAUAAGCAUCGGCUAACUCCGUGCCAGCAGCCGCGGUAAUACGGAGGAUGCGAGCGUUAUCCGGAUUUAUUGGGUUUAAAGGGUGCGUAGGCGGACGCGUAAGUCAGCGGUGAAAGGUACCGGCUCAACCGGUGAGCUGCCGUUGAUACUGCGCGACUGGAAUGCGGAUGCCGUGGGAGGAAUGUGUGGUGUAGCGGUGAAAUGCAUAGAUAUCACACAGAAACACCGAUUGCGAAGGCAUCUCACGAAUCCGUUAUUGACGCUGAGGCACGAAGGCGUGGGGAUCAAACAGGAUUAGAUACCCUGGUAGUCCACGCAGUAAACGAUGAUGGCUAACUGCCGGCGAUACAAUGUCGGUGGCCAAGCGAAAGCGAUAAGCCAUCCACCUGGGGAGUACGACCGCAAGGUUGAAACUCAAAGGAAUUGACGGGGGCCCGCACAAGCGGAGGAACAUGUGGUUUAAUUCGAUGAUACGCGAGGAACCUUACCCGGGCUCGAACAGCUGAGGAAUGAUUUGGAGACAGGUCAGUCCGCAAGGACUUCAGUCGAGGUGCUGCAUGGUUGUCGUCAGCUCGUGCCGUGAGGUGUCGGCUCAAGUGCCAUAACGAGCGCAACCCUUGCCGUCAGUUGCCAUCAAGUGAAGUUGGGGACUCUGGCGGGACUGCCACCGCAAGGUGAGAGGAAGGGGGGGAUGACGUCAAAUCAGCACGGCCCUUACGUCCGGGGCGACACACGUGUUACAAUGGUGGGUACAGAGGGAAGCUACCUGGCGA